CCUACGGGAGGCUGCAGUGGGGGAUAUUGCACAAUGGGGGGAACCCUGAUGCAGCGACGCCGCGUGGGUGAAGAAGCGCCUCGGCGCGUAAAGCCCUGUCAGCAGGGAAGAAAAUGACGGUACCUGAAGAAGAAGCCCCGGCUAACUACGUGCCAGCAGCCGCGGUAAUACGUAGGGGGCAAGCGUUAUCCGGAUUUACUGGGUGGAAAGGGGGCGCAGACGGCGAUGCAAGCCAGGAGUGAAAGCCCGGGGCCCAGCCCCGGGACUGCUCUUGGAACUGCGUGGCUGGAGUGCAGGAGGGGCAGGCGGAAUUCCUGGUGUAGCGGUGAAAUGCGUAGAUAUCAGGAGGAACACCGGUGGCGAAGGCGGCCUGCUGGACUGCAACUGACGUUGAGGCCCGAAAGCGUGGGUAUCGAACAGGAUUAGAUACCCUGGUAGUC
rnacentral:rRNA from 1 species